CUUCCGAUCUCCGGAGGCUACCGCUAUUGGAGUUCGAUUAAGCCAUGCGAGUCGCGAGAAAUUAGAUUCUCGGCGUACCGCUCAGUAACACGUGGGUAACCUGCCCUAUGCUGGAUAAUAACCUCGGGAAACUGAGAAUAAUGAUCCAUAGUUCACUACGCCUGGAACGGUGAGUGGAUGAAAGCUCCGGCGGCAUAGGAUGGGCCUGCGGCGUAUCAGGUUGUAGGGGGUGUAACGUACCCUCUAGCCCUCUACGCGUACGGGUGUUGGGAGACAUAGCCCGGAGAUGGAUUCUGAGACACGAAUCCAGACCCUACGGGGUGCAGCAGGCGCGAAAACUUCACACUGCAGGAAACUGUGAUGAGGGAACUCCAAGUGCAUCCACUAUGUGGAUGCUUUUUUUGACUAUUAAUCGGUCAACGAAUAAGGGCUGGGAAAGACCGGUGCCAGCCGCCGCGGUAAUACCGGCAGCUCAAGUGGUCGUCGCUUUUAUUGGGCCUAAAACGUCCGUAGCCUGUUUGGUAAAUCUGUGGGUAAAUCAACCAGCUUAACUGGUUGAAUUCUGCAGAGACUGCCAGACUAGGGACCGGGAGAGGUGUGGGGUACUCUAGGGGUAGGGGUAAAAUCCUGUCAUCCUUAGAGGACCACCAGUUGCGAAGGCGCCACACUGGAACGGAUCCGACGGUCAGGGACGAAGCCUAGGGGCACGAACCGGAUUAGAUACCCGGGUAGUCCUAGGUGUAAACGCUGUGAACUUGGUGUCGGGAGUCCGCAAUGGGCCCCCGGUGCCGGAGUGAAGAUGUUAAGUUCACUGCCUGGGGAGUACGGUCGCAAGGCUGAAACUUAAAGGAAUUGGCGGGGGAGCACUGCAACGGGAGGAGCGUGCGGUUUAAUUGGAUUCAACGCCGGAAAACUCACCAGGGCCGACUGUUAUAUGAAGACCAGCGUAAUGAGCUUGUCGGAUUUUCAGAGAGGUGGUGCAUGGCCGUCGUCAGUUCGUACUGUAAAGCGUUCUGUUAAGUCAGAUAACGAACGAGACCCUCAUCUCUAUUUGCUACCCGUCUCUCCGGAGGCGGCGCACUAUAGGGAGACCGCUGGUGUUAAACCAGAGGAAGGCGAGGGCAACGACAGGUCAGUAUGCCCCAGAUCGGAAGAGCACACGUCUGAACUCCAGUCACCAGUACUAUCUCGU
rnacentral:rRNA from 1 species